GGGGGCGUUUAUGGAUUCGACGGGGAUAGAACGAGCGUGGGUAGCGGGUAGUAGGGCUGCGUCUGCUUCACUAACGCGGAAAGCCAUUUAAACGGCAAACAACAAAACAACUACGCUUUAGCAGCCUAAGAAACUGCUUGCGUGCUUCUACCUUCCAUCGCCCAUGUGGCAGGAUAGGGGCUAACCUAUAGUGGGAUACGCUAACUAGUCUCCGCCUGGGGCUGAUUAGAAGAAGACAAUCAGGCUGACCCGAAGGGAAUCCGGUGACGGGGAGUCUCUAGGGUGACAUCAAAUCUGUCACUACACCCGUAGAAGCACAUGUGGCGUUGUCUUCGGACAGGGGUUCGACUCCCCUCGCCUCCACCA
rnacentral:tmRNA from 1 species